rnacentral:rRNA from 1 species
AGCGAACCUGCGAAGGCAAGCGGAUCUCUUAAAGCCGUUCUCAGUUCGGACUGUAGGCUGCAACUCGCCUACACGUAGCUGGAAUCGCUAGUAAUCGCGGAUCAGCACGCCGCGGUGAAUACGUUCCCGGGCCUUGUACACACCGCCCGUCACACCAUGAGAGUCUGUAACACCCAAAGCCGGUGGGAUAACCUUUAUAGGAGUCAGCCGUCUAAGGUAGGACAGAUGAUUAGGGUGAAGUCGUAACAAGGUAUC